CCUGCCCCUUGGCAUCCUGAGAGCAGCAAGCCAAAAAAUGGCGCACAAUGAACUCGUAGAGUCUCUGCUCGUUGCCCUGACACCAAACAGUGAAAGGAGUCAGCGUUAAUGAGACAUCCAGAAAUCAGUGGGAUCUCAGUUUGCGGGAAGCCAACUUCUCGAGUUCCUGAGGUGGGAAGGGCCAGAAAAAACCCAGAAGCAUUAGUGCAUUAAUUCAGGGUGGUGAGUAAAACAUCUGUUCACAGCUCCUUUUAGAGGAGUCUUUUCCAGAGUUCAAACAUACCACAGUAUCCAGGGGCAGGGGCCUCCAUUUGCUCUUUGGCUUGCUCGCAACCUCAACAACAGUCGCCACCGGAUCCUAAACAGAGUAAGCAAAACCCAAAUCUCCUUUAAGAGUUUGCACAAACCGUUCUUUCAACGUCUUGAUACAGGGAAUGUUUGGCUGACUCUGGAUUACAGAACUAUUUACAAGCCUUCCUACCUCCAUACACAUUUGGUAAAGGACCAGGCACGCCGUGUGGUUGAAGAGCCGGUUCCUCUUCCAGUUGAAGAGCACACUGCCGUCUUCGUGGUCGUGGGUCACUGUGGGGAACAACAGAGCUGGCUGGCAGAGCAGUCACAAAAUGGAAACAUCACAAAAGCACCUGGAAACCUUCCAGUUCUGCUCCGUGGUCCCAGCAGAGGAAGAGGAAACCACCUCUGCAGCGCUGUGUGCUUGUUGCUCCAAUGUUUUUCCUUCCUAUGCACAUCGAACCCUCUGAGAUGGAGCCCAGGGAUGGUUUUCCCCAAACAUACCUUUAAUUUUGUAGAAGGCUUCAGGAACAAAGGCUUGGAUGGCUUUAAAGCGUUCAACUACAAAUCCCAGUGUUGGGAACUGGCAGCUACCAUAGCUGAUCAGCUGAUCUGCUAAAAUAUCGGGGAAGAUCUUCCGCAGCCUCAGCGUCUGGAACCUGGUGAAGGCAGCACCUGGGAAAACAAAAUGGGCACCAGAACUGAAUGCAACAAUGCUGAAUGAUAAUCACAGCACUUCAGAUUAUAUAAUACUCUGAGCAUUCAUUUUACUCUGUUUAAUACUCAGUUGUAGAGGCUUGUCAGUGCUGUGUGGGCCAUAAACUUAAUAUUUGCUUCAAGGAGCAAUUUCCUCCUUUUGGGAGGGAAACAAACCCUUCAGAAAGGGUUGUUAAACAGCAGAAUGGACUGCCCAGGGGGUGGUGGAGUCACCAUCCCUGGAGUUGUUCAAGAAACGACUGGAUGUGGCACUCAGUGCUCUGGUCUAGCUGACAAGGUUGUCAUCGGUCACAGGUUGGACUCGAUGAUCUCGAAGGUCUUUUCCAACCUAAAUGAUUCUCUCAUUCAAAGAGCACGUUUUCCAGUAAAAUGAGAUGCCAUUAAGUUGCAUCUGAUCAAUAAAUCAGGUGUGUGACACCACAGAGGGCAUUUCUGCCUUGUGCUGAGGAUACAGGAAGAGGUGUUUACGGACCUAUCCUGAGGUCCAGCUCCUGCCUGACGUCGACGGCGUCGCUCGUCCUCUGGUCCGGCUGGGUGAGGUUCUCACAGGCUGAUCUGACAGCAUGAAGGGUGAUCUCUGAGAAACGGGCUCGGAAAACCUGGAGGUUUGGCUUUACUGCCAGACAGACACGAGAAAGAAAUCAGACUGACCCAAGCACCAACAGAGAGGAGCAACUGAUAAACAGCUGCCUUCAAAAGGCUGCGCUGCCGACCUGCUCGACAGCUUUCCAACAGCUGAACACAUUUCUGCUUUAUUAGAGCCACAUAUAUUUAUCAGAACUACAGUCAGCAUUCAACCUGGACGCAGUAAGAUUGACAAUACACCUCUGCCAAAAGAUCCCUGAGGGGCUGUUAAGCUUUUAAUGGAACCCAGACUGCUGAAGACGCUCUACGCACCCGCUUUGCACACGUGGAUGAUCUCGAAGCCGAUGUUCUCCCCCUCCCGAUCGCAGUCAGUCCAGAUCACCAGGGCUUGGCACUGCCGGAUUUCUCGCUCAAGGGUUUUCUGAGAGCAGAAAACAACACAGGGAGACAUUCCAGGCCACUCGCUUUGUCAUUUAAUUUUGGAAUGACUCACUGCACACGAAAUGCAACGCGUAUCCAUGGAGAUGGAUUGUUGCAAUAACAUUUGGUAAUUGUGUGUCUCAUGAGAUUAGGCAGCUUUCAAAAGAAUUGAGUCAUUUAUUUAUAUCUAAUUCUGUUAAAAAGCUUGGCUAGGAGCGGGUUGUACCACAAUCUGCUUUCUAAAAAUGUAAUUUUUUUGUAAAACUGAGACACAAUCCCCAAUUCCACCUUGUUGGGAAAAAACAUUUCUAUCUUUAGCAAAGUAGUUGUUCCUUUACUGCACUACUUGUGCAUGAGCGGGAGAGUUUCGAUGUUCAAACAAACAGCAUUAAUAGUCCUAGGAAAUGCAGGGAGAAUCUGCUAAACUGGAAAUUUGGAUGUUAAGGACAAUCAUCCUUCUGCCUGGGACAGCAUUUGUUGAAUCAACCCCUGAACUCAGUUUCAGGGCAACUCUUGACCACGACGUACCUUGAUAUCCAGGCCUAUCUCAGACAACACGGAGUUCAUGUGAAAUGCUGAGUAACACUUAACAGAAUCAAAAACCAGUGCUCUGAAAAAGAGUAAUUUGAAACAAUAUUUUAGUAUUCUCCAUAAAAUUUGGAUCUCAUCACCCUGCUCUGUGUCAGAGUCCCUCCCUGCCCCCUUGUCUUUGAGCUUGCAGCGCCUCAAUCGGCUCAGGGUCAAGAGCAGGAGAUGACAGACCCUUCUUAUGAGGGGCAGGAGGUGACAGACCCCUUCCUGUGGAGCCCUGGAGGUGACAGACCCUUCUCUGCCAAGGGCACGAGGUACCAACCAUUUGCGAAACGGCAUCCUAAACUCGUGAGUCAGUAAGUGUCCUGACACGGAUGUCAUCACCAUGGUAACGGUCUGCAAGAGACGGAGCGAAGUAAUUAGCAAGGUAAUUAGUGCCCAUCGUUCACUAAAAACUACCCACAGCCCCCAAAUCUUCCUCCAGUGCUCAGUUGACACCACCAGUGACGCCUCUCUCCUGUUUAUGACAGAAUCCCAGAAUGGGACCUUAAAGCUCGUCUUGUUCCAUCCCCUGCCAUGGGGACAAGGCUCCAAGCCUAUUCCAGCGUGGCCUUGAACACUUCCAGGGAUUGAAGGGAAACUCCUACCUGGCCAAACAUCUGGUAGUCAUAUUCGUAGAUCUUGUUGAACUUGGAAAACCCUUCUCUCUGGAAGGAAAAGGAGAGCUCCUGAGUUUCUGUUGUCUAACAGAAAACAAAUCCAUCCUGCCUCGCUUUGUACACGCUGCGAUGGAGCACGGGAGGCAGGGAAAACCAGGUCCUGGGGCUGAUGGGAAUUACAGCAGGGGAAUGGAAACUGCCUGUUAUCAUUUUAUGGAGACGCUGAAAUGGUGAGUUCCAAGGUAAGAGUAUUUUAAACCAUCCCUGAAGGUGAUGCCAGGGUUAUCUCCCCACGGAUAAUGAAGAACUGAUUUGUUUAACAGGGCUGGCCAAUGAUCAUGGAAUCACAGAAACU